AAACAGCAAUAAAAACCUUGUGUCUAACAUCUUCUAGAACAUACCUAGAGGCAUCAGACGGAAGAGCCUUAUAAAAAGUAUGCCUUUAUUUUGGUAGCUCUUACAGAGAUUUUCCUUUAAGAGCUAUAAUCACAAACUAGAUAGGGGAACUUCCAGGCUCCUAUGUGUCAGCACGUAACUGAUGCUUCUGUGCAAAGAUCUAGCUACUCUGGAUGGUUAGACAAGCAACCAGAUCAGGAGAAAGGGACUAAACCAGUAGAGGGCCUAUCAUAUAGAUGGCGGACUUUCUACUAAAAGCCUUUUGUGAAAUGCUGAAGAAAUCAGGACAACCACUUUGAACACUUAACUGUCAGUACAGCUAAUUCUAAAAAGUGAUGCUCGAGUUUUCUGCUCCUCAGAGUAAAGGGGCGGCUGGUGCAGCCUCUAUUGUUCAGGUUUUAAGGCACCAUGAGGGGUGACAGAGGCUGUGGUCGUGGUGGGCACUUUGGUUCCAGAGGAGGCCCAGGAACAGGGUUCAGGCCCUUUGUACCACAUAUCCCAUUUGACUUCUAUUUGUGUGAAACAGCCUUCCCCUGAGUCAAGCCAGCACCUGAUGAAACUUCAGUUAGGCCUUGCUGAAGAGGAAUCAGGACCUGGUUCCCAAAUCUAUCCUUUCUCUGGUGACAAAUAAACAAUGUGAUUGACAAUCUGAUUGUGGCUCCAGGGACAUUUGAAGUGCAAAUUGAAGUUCGACAGGUGGGAUCCUAUAAAAAGGGGACGAUGACUACAGGACACAAUGUGACUGACGUGGUGGUGAUACUCAAGAUUCUGCCAACAUUGGAAGCUGUUGCUGCCCUGGGGAACAAUGUUGUGGAAAGCCUAAGAGCACAGAAUUCUUCUGAAGUUUUAACCAUGCUAACCAAUGAAACUGGCUUUGAAAUCAGUUCUUAUGAUGCUACAGUGAAGAUUCUUAUUACAACAGUGCCACUCAGUCUUCAAAAACUGUACCCAGAACUCCAUUUGGAUAUCAAGAUAUUGCAGAGUGCCUUAGCAGCCAUCCGACAUGCCUGCUGGUUUGAGGAAAAUGCUUCUCAGUACACAGUUAAAGUUCUCAUCAGACUACUGAAAGACUUGAGGAUUUGUUUUCCUGGCUUUGAGCCCCUCACACCCUAAAUCCUUGACCUACUAGAAGUCAUUAUGCUGUGAUGAACAACCCCACCAGACAGCCUUUGGCCCUAAACGUUGCAUAAAGGUGCUGCUUGCAGAUUGUGGCUGCAGGACUGUUCCUGCCAGGUUCAGUGGGUAUUACUGACCCCUGUGAGACUGGCAACUUUAGAGUACACACAGUCAUGACCCUAGAACAUCAGGACAUGGUCUGCUAUACAGCUCAGACUCUCGUCCAAAUCCUCUCACAUGGUGGCCAGGAGGGUAAUGCCAGCUAUCUUGCUUCUGAAAUAUCUACCUGGGAUGGAGUGAAAGUAACACCUUCAGAAAGGAAGGAGAGGAAGAAGAGGAGAAUACAGAAGACCACCUCAAGGAGAGGAAGAAGAAAGCAUGGAAACUCAGGAGUGACCUUCCCUUCCCUUGACUUGGAGCCAGACCUUCCCUUGACUGGAGCCUAAGCUCACUGGUACUGGGCUUUACAGGGUCGUAGACGUUUCUGAGGGAUAGGGAAGACAAAAGAAAGGAAAGUAACUUCAUAGAAGUGUCAUAUUGGCUUAGCAGCCAGUUUCCCAUUUGUGACCUAUGCCAUCCAUUUAUAAUGAAUGAGGAUACCAACAUUUCAUCCUAAUAUUCUAGAAUCCCCAACUCCUGAAAACCCCUCUCUCAACUAAUACUUUGCUGUUGAAAUGUUGUGAACUGUUAAGUGUCUGGAAAUUUUUUUUCUAAGAAAAACUAUUAAAGUACUUCCAAGUA